rnacentral:rRNA from 2 species
UAUAAUGCAGUCGACGACUCUGGUAUUGAUUGGUGCUUGCAUCAUGAUUUACAUUUGAGUGAGUGGCGAACUGGUGAGUAACACGUGGGAAACCUGCCCAGAAGCGGGGGAUAACACCUGGAAACAGAUGCUAAUACCGCAUAACAACUUGGACCGCAUGGUCCGAGUUUGAAAGAUGGCUUCGGCUAUCACUUUUGGAUGGUCCCGCGGCGUAUUAGCUAGAUGGUGGGGUAACGGCUCACCAUGGCAAUGAUACGUAGCCGACCUGAGAGGGUAAUCGGCCACAUUGGGACUGAGACACGGCCCAAACUCCUACGGGAGGCAGCAGUAGGGAAUCUUCCACAAUGGACGAAAGUCUGAUGGAGCAACGCCGCGUGAGUGAAGAAGGGUUUCGGCUCGUAAAACUCUGUUGUUAAAGAAGAACAUAUCUGAGAGUAACUGUUCAGGUAUUGACGGUAUUUAACCAGAAAGCCACGGCUAACUACGUGCCAGCAGCCGCGGUAAUACGUAGGUGGCAAGCGUUGUCCGGAUUUAUUGGGCGUAAAGCGAGCGCAGGCGGUUUUUUAAGUCUGAUGUGAAAGCCUUCGGCUCAACCGAAGAAGUGCAUCGGAAACUGGGAAACUUGAGUGCAGAAGAGGACAGUGGAACUCCAUGUGUAGCGGUGAAAUGCGUAGAUAUAUGGAAGAACACCAGUGGCGAAAGCGGCUGUCUGGUCUGUAACUGACGCUGAGGCUCGAAAGUAUGGGUAGCAACAGGAUUAGAUACCCUGGUAGUCCAUACCGUAACGAUGAUGCUAAGUGUUGGAGGGUUUCCGCCCUUCAGUGCUGCAGCUAACGCAUUAGCAUUCGCCUGGGGAGUACGCGCAGCUGAAA